GAUGAACGCUGGCGGCGUGCCUAAUACAUGCAAGUCGAGCGAACAGACGAGGAGCUUGCUCCUCUGACGUUAGCGGCGGACGGGUGAGUAACACGUGUAUAACCUACCUAUAAGACUGGGAUAACUUCGGGAAACCGGAGCUAAUACCGUAUAAUAUAUUGAACCGCAUGGUUCAAUAGUGAAAGUCGGUUUUUCUGUCUCUUAUAGCUGGAUCCGCGCCGCAUUAGCUAGUUGGUAAGGUAACGGCUUAACACGGCAACGAGGCGUAGCCGACCGGGAGGGGGGGUAGGGCACCCGAGAAGGUGGAAACGGAACAAGCGACUGAGGGAAGGAAGAGUAGGGAAUCGUAAGCAAAGGGGGGGAGGCUUAAAGAAGAAAGGCGGGGUGGAGAUGGAAAGCCUACGGUCGGAAAAACGUGUUUUUAGGGAAGAACAAAUGUGUAAGUAAAUAUGCACGUCUUGACGGUACCUAAUCAGAAAGCCACGGCUAACUACGUG
rnacentral:rRNA from 1 species